ACUCUUGCCACUUGGGCUGCACGCAGGGUCACACCUCCCACCCACGCGUGACUGUCCAGAAUCUUAAAUCUCAAGACUGGGGCUCUAAGACCUGUGGUGUGCAGAAAGACAGAACGUGUCUGGCUUCCGCCUUGCAUUGUGACCCUCUGAAGACAGAAAGAGCCUCGAACAUAGGAAGGCAACUAAAAGACCCAUCCAACGAACGAGCCGUCUGCAGUGGCUACAAGAUGGGGAGUCCUACAGCCCCACUUACUAAGAGCACCCCCCCACUCAGACUCUCGAAUUUAAAAGUGCCUUUUAAAUUCUGUAUCGAAGGCACUUCCGUUAAUAUAGCAGGAGUUACAUUUUAACUUAUUGUCAGGUGCAUUUAUCUUCAGCAAUGGCCACUUGUAGAAAUGCAUAUGGGAGUCUGAACUGUGGGUGCCAACUCUCGGAGUGCAAAAAGUUUUCUUUGGUUCGUGUUGCCUUUAAUCUGUAUUUUUCUAAUUAACAAAUCCAAAAUAUAGUACAGUCAUAAAGACAAAAAACACGAAACAAAACUCUAGCAACAUUUUCCUCAGAAGCAACAGCGGCAGAGGCGGAGUGAGCAAUGGGCCACAGAACUAUCUAAGAAUCACAAUCACUGACAUGUGGGCCAUGAUCAAGGUCCUUCCACCCCACAAAGGAAUGAAAGGCAUUUCAAGACGUUCAGAGUGUCUACGCCUGGAACCAGAAAAGCAGUCCUGGCACGGACUGUGAUGGAAACUGGAACCCAGGCUUGCUGACGAGGUCAGGAGACAGAGUUGCUUGCCAUGAGAAGAAAGUCCUCUCUGUGUUCAAGCCCCCGCACUAGGGCAGCUGCCCAUGCCCUAGAAGGUGCUGUGGUGGUCCACUGUCAGUUAACUGCCUCACAUGAGUGUUGUGACACAUGAAAACUCCCAGCCAGUGUCUUCUGAGGUUCUCUGAUGAGUGGCUGUUCCUGCCUCAAGAAUGUCUUUGAUUUUUCUAAAGACGAAGAAGGAUGGAGCCCACGACUUUCCUUCAGUCGUCAUAAAACACCAGACGAAAAUACUCAUGUCUCCCAUAUGACUGCCCCUUCCUGCCUGAGCCCUGCGCCGUGCACACUCGCAUAGACAAGGAAGCUCCGUCCUUCAGCUCUGAGAUCACAGAGUGGGCUCCGGGGAAACUUAACAUUGCUCCAGGGAAGGCAGCAUUACCACCAUCCACGUCAAAGGCACAGCUGACUAAUCAGAUGGGCUGCACUUCCUUUAUGCCAGCAUUGAGCAUCUGAGAGAACCUGACAAACACAGGGAGCAUCUCCGGAGCUUGAUAGUGCCAUCAAAUAGUUAUUAGAACAAAACAAAAACAAACAGUAGCGGUGCCUAUCCCUUUUACACAUCUUUUACAACGGUGAAUAUAUAUUCCCUCAGAAAGAAUCAAGUAUAAGCUCGCUCGUGUGCUCUCUCUCUCUCUCUCUCCCUCUCUCUCUCUCUCUCUCUCUGGCUCAUAGAUUUCCUCUGGGGUUGUGUCCACAGAAAAAUGUCACCCUUUUCUGGUGCACUGCAGGGCCCCUGACCACAGCAAGAUACACUCCGCUGCUACGUACCCUCUACAGCCUGGCGUUAGUAUCAUUGGUCCACUGAAAAAGUUCUUAUCAGUGUGCCCAACCUUGAACACCCUUGGUUUCUCAUGCCUAACCUCCAAAGCUAGGAGAAGGCAAGCUGGGAAGCCAGGAGCAGCCCAUCUUGGGACUCCUGAGCGAGAAGAGGCCCAGUCUGCUCCAAGCAUCUAUAUCUGCCUAACCUACUUCCUGGGUAAGGGAGCCAGGAAGAGGCCCUUUGGGGUCUUUAAGUCAUUUGCUAAGGGAUGCCAUGUAGUGCCGUCCUCACAGGGUGGAGGGUGAAACUCCUGCUCACAGAUACUGGGGUGCUGUCAAGAAGGGAGAUGUCAUUCAUUCCCCAACCAUAAAGCAGCAUGUGUUAUUUGCUGUGGCUUGUAACACGAAUAAUAAAAACCCAGAGACAGAUAUUAGGGUUCAAGCUGAAGACCAGAGAAGCAAAGCAGCCAGCCACUAUCUCUUACCUCUACCAAGGCUGAAAUGGAGAUCCCGUCUUCCCUGUAACUGAAAACUAAAUGCCACAUGAGACCCCUUGCUUCUUCCUAUAUACCUCUCUGGUGCUGAGAUUAAAAGCAUGAAUUCUGUUAU